ensembl:snoRNA U8 U8 small nucleolar RNA
UCAUCAGUAGGAUAAUUCUUCCCUGUUCUUCUCUUCAUAAAGCAGAUAGAACACAAUGACUGGAAUUCACUUGAUUUGUUAUUAACUUCUCUGCGUGAUUAGGGUUCACAGUACCCUAAUCUCUCCUAUCUGAC